GACAGAGGGUGCAAACGUUUGUUCGGAAUUACUGGGCGUAAAGCGCGUGUAGGCUGUCUUGCAAGUCGGGUGUGAAAGCCCCGGGCUCAACCUGGGAAGUGCACUCGAAACUGCAAGACUCGAGUCCUGGAGAGGAAGGCGGAAUUCUCGGUGUAGAGGUGAAAUUCGUUAGAUAUCGAGAGGAACACCGGUGGCGAAGGCGG
rnacentral:rRNA from 1 species